UGCAACGCGAAAAACCUUACUACCCUUGACAUGCCACUAACGAAGCAGAGAUGCAUUAGGUGCUCGAAAGAGAAAGUGGACACAGGUGCUGCAUGGCUGUCGUCAGCUCGUGUCGUGAGAUGUUGGGUUAAGUCCCGCAACGAGCGCAACCCUUGUCUCUAGUUGCUACGAAAGGGCACUCUAGAGAGACUGCCGGUGACAAACCGGAGGAAGGUGGGGAUGACGUCAAGUCCUCAUGGCCCUUAUGGGUAGGGCUUCACACGUCAUACAAUGGUGCAUACAGAGGGUUGCCAAGCCGCGAGGUGGAGCUAAUCCCAGAAAAUGCAUCGUAGUCCGGAUCGUAGUCUGCAACUCGACUACGUGAAGCUGGAAUCGCUAGUAAUCGCGGAUCAGCAUGCC
rnacentral:rRNA from 1 species